rnacentral:rRNA from 1 species
AUUGAACGCUGGCGGUAUGCUUAACACAUGCAAGUCGAACGGUAGCACGGUCUAGCUUGCUAGAUGGGUGACGAGUGGCGAACGGGUGAGUAACGCGUAGGAAUAUGCCUUAAAGAGGGGGAUAACUUGGGGAAACUCAAGCUAAUACCGCAUAAUCUCUUCGGAGAAAAGUUGGGGACCUUCGGGCCUGGCGCUUUAAGAUUAGCCUGCGUCCGAUUAGCUAGUUGGUAGGGUAAAGGCCUACCAAGGCGACGAUCGGUAGCUGGUCUGAGAGGAUGACCAGCCACACUGGAACUGAGACACGGUCCAGACUCCUACGGGAGGCAG